GGAGAAAGAGAAUUAGUGUAGCCGACCCAAAUUUUUUUUUGAUAAAGGCUUAGUUUGAGCUUGAGUGAGAGUUAUAUCUCAGACAAUGUAUCCACUGUAUCCCAUCACACCCAGAAAGAAACCAUUGUUCAGAAAAAUAACAAAUUUUCAAAUGGAGAUGAAACAGCAUUUCAAGACCCAUUAAAAAUAACCAAAUUAGAAGUAAAAAAGUACAAGCAAUGAGAAACCAUCCCCUCAACAAUAUAACAGAAUCACUAAAAUCAACAGAACCGCCAAAAUCAACAGAACCACCUACACCUGAAAAAUUCCUCUACCCUUUUCCCAAAAAGAGAAAAGGCUUCAUUCUUAGAAAAUCGAGGCAAUUACACUAGCACAAACCCAAACCUACAUAAACAAAAGAACCCCAAUUGCGAAUUCCAGACAUCAAAUCACCAAAACAGCCACACGUAAUAGAACCCUACGCAUCAAUACCGUCCGGAAACAAGAAAUCAUGAACGAGUACAUCCAGAUAGACACGGAAAGAGAGUUGAAAUAGAAAUAGAAGGGGGCAGAGAGUGCAA
rnacentral:misc_RNA from 1 species